rnacentral:rRNA from 1 species
AGUGAACGCUGGCGGUAGGCCUAACACAUGCAAGUCGAACGGCAGCACAGUAAGAGCUUGCUCUUACGGGUGGCGAGUGGCGGACGGGUGAGGAAUACAUCGGAAUCUACUUUUUCGUGGGGGAUAACGUAGGGAAACUUACGCUAAUACCGCAUACGACCUACGGGUGAAAGCAGGGGAUCUUCGGACCUUGCGCGAUUGAAUUAGCCGAUGUCGGAUUAGCUAGUUGGCGGGGUAAAGGCCCACCAAGGCGACGAUCCGUAGCUGGUCUGAGAGGAUGGUCACCCACACUGGAACUGAGACACGGUCCAGACUCCUACGGGAGGCAGCAGUGGGGAAUAUUGGACAAUGGGCGCAAGCCUGAUCCAGCCAUACCGCGUGGGUGAAGAAGGCCUUCGGGUUGUAAAGCCCUUUUGUUGGGAAAGAAAAGCAGCAGGUUAAUACCCCGCUGUUCUGACGGUACCCAAAGAAUAAGCACCGGCUAACUUCGUG